GACGAACGCUGGCGGCGUGCUUAACACAUGCAAGUCGAACGGUGAAGCGCCUUCCUUUUUGGUGGGUGUGGAUGAGUGGCGAACGGGUGAGUAACACGUGAGUAACCUGCCCCCUUCUUCUGGAUAACCGCAUGAAAGUGUGGCUAAUACGGGAUAUUCUGGGUCUGUCGCAUGAUGGGUCUGGGAAAGAUAUUGUUUCGGUGGGGGAUGGGCUCGCGGCCUAUCAGCUUGUUGGUGGGGUGAUGGCCUACCAAGGCGGUGACGGGUAGCCGGCCUGAGAGGGUGGACGGUCACACUGGGACUGAGACACGGCCCAGACUCCUACGGGAGGCAGCAGUGGGGAAUAUUACACAAUGGGCGCAAGCCUGAUGCAGCGACGCCGCGUGAGGGAUGGAGGCCUUCGGGUUGUGAACCUCUUUCGCCAGUGAAGCAGGCCUGCCUAGUUUGUGGGUGGGUUGACGGUAGCUGGAUAAGAAGCGCCGGCUAACUACGUG
rnacentral:rRNA from 1 species